rnacentral:antisense_RNA from 1 species
GGACUGGCUGCUCAGACUCCACAAUUUAAUGAAAAAUCUGAGAUGAUGACUCAGAAAACCUCUAACGAUCUGAGGAAUAUAUUAAGGGAUUCCAAAGUCAAAGGCUGAUCAUGGAGGGCAUUGAUGAGGGGAGACUUCAGCCAAAAAACAACCAACUAAAGAAAGAAAUAAAAAGAAAAGAAGAAAGGAAAGGAGAGAAAGAAAAGGAAGGAAGGAGAGAGAGAAGGAAGGAAGGAGAGAGAGAAAGGAAAGAAAAAAGGAAGGGAAGGAAGGAAGGAAGAAAGAAAAGCACAGCAUUAUGGACCUAGUGCUUAAUUGUACCCAAGACUCUGUAUUAAGAGAACUCUGUAGGGUUCAGUCCCUCUCCUCAGAAUAUAUAGUUUAGGCUGGGCACGAUGGCUCACGCCUGUAAUCCCAGCACUUUGGGAGGCCAAGGCAGGUGGAUCACUUGAGGUCAGCAGUAUGGGAUCAGCCUGGCCAACAUGGCGAAACCCUGCCUCCACUAAAAAUACAAAAAUUAGCCGGGCAUGGUGAUGCAUACCUGUAGUCCCAGCUAUUUGGGAGGCUAAGGCAGGAGAAUCACUUGAACGUUGGAGGCAGGGGCUGCAGUGAGCUGUGAUUGUGCCACUGCACUUCAGCCUGGGCAACAGAGCAAGACUCUGUCUCAAAAAAAAAAAAA